ensembl:lncRNA
CUGAUUUCUUAUGAACAUCUUAAGGGACAAACAGAUUACUGUAACUUAAGGUAUCUCACUGCAGCAAAACAUAAGCUCUGAAUCUUUCCCUACUCCUGAAGGAAGAUAUAGUCUUUGUAUUAGAAGACUGGAACUGAAAAAGGGUUGGAUAGUUUAUUUAUCUGAGCCAAAACUUACACUCAAAGAGGAUCCAGGUCAAUGGAUGUCCUGACUGGUCUGCUUCAUGAAGAUCGGACUUGUAAAGAGCGAGGUCAGUCAAAAUUAGAUUGGAAUUGACUGAGAGAGAAACCUAUCAAUUCCCACUGGAAGCGGAGCUGUUAUACAGGACCUCCUCUCCUGAACUAUCCUGUGGUGAACAUCAACUCCUUCAAUACUUACAAUGCAAAAGGAAAGUGCCUGAAAUUCCUGAGAUAAACAUAAAAAAAAAAAAAAAAAACAACAACCAUACUUUCCCUUAUCUGCUUAAACAGUCGCAUAGUCAGUGAUUUUUUUUUUUAUCUCUAGAGUUGAGAUACCCAUUUUCAUAUUCAAGCUUUAACUUCAAACCUGACUCUACUUCCCAGAAGGUCCUCUAGAAAUUGACAUUUUGAACAAUUCUGUUCAUAAUGUGCUUUGGAUUUGAUAAAUUUUAUUUUCCAGAUCGAGUGAUUGCUUUGGGAGAUUUAUUUCAGACAAAUAGGCUGAUUUGAGCAUGAGGUGUUGCAGAACAUUGGGGAAAUUCAAUACUAUUUUGGAAUAGAGGAAU